AUGCUUCAACAAAAGAUGAACUGCAUGCUCUUCCUUCAGCGUUUCCUGUCCAAAACAAGCACUGGGGAUUCUGGGGAACCUCUGAGGAGCACCCUGCCUUUACUUGCAGUUCUUCCAGAGAAAAUCUUGUCAACUGAAGACGCUCUACAGAAUGAGCAGCGAUGUGUGAAUGGGUCUGUCUCAUGUAGUCAUGGAGCUAUCAGUUUCCCCUUAGUUUAUCAUCAAGUCACCCGGAAGUUGAAGUCCCAAUAUUAUGUGCAACCAGCAUGUGCUUCUACCCUGUAUGUGGUCUUAAAAGUCAGGAUUUAUAUGAAAUUGUGAUAUGACAUAAUUCCUAACUUAAGACCCUGAUGUAGAGGAAUAAUAUAUGGCCAUGAUGAUUCCUCAAGGAUAUAGAACCAGAAAUACCAUGUGACCCAGCAAUCUAAUUACUGGGUAUAUUCCCAAAGGAUUAUAAAUCAUUCUACUGUAAAGACACAUGCAUAUGUAUGUUUAUUGCGGCACUAUUCACAAUAGCAAAGACUUGGAACCAACCCAAAUGUCCAUCAAUGAUAGACUGGAUAAAGAAAAUGUGGCACAUAUACACCAUGGAAUACUAUGCAGUCAUAAAAAAGGAUGAGUUCAUGUCCUUUUCAGGGACAUGGAUGAAGCUGGAAACCAUCAUCCUCAGCAAACUAACACAAGGACAGAAAACCAAACACUGCAUGUUCUCACUCAUAAGUGGGAGCUGAACAAUGAGAACACAUGGACAUAGGGAGGGGAACGUCACACACCGGGGCCUGUCAGGCAGUGAGGGGCUUGGGGAGGGAUAGCAUUAGGAGAAAUACCUAAUAUAGAUGACAGGUUGAUGGGUGCAACAAACCACCAUGGCACAUAUAUACCGAUGUAACGAACAUGCACAUUCUGCACAUGUAUUCCAGAAUUUAAAGUAUAAUUUUAAAAAACGAAUGAAUUAUAGGAGGUCUUCAAAUAAUGUCAUUUCAUUUAAAAUUGUUUAGCUAUAAAGUUGUUCAGCAAAAAAAAUCUGGCUUCGUUAUACAUCAUUUUUCUUAUUGUUGUAGUUUCCAAGAACCUAUUGAAGACCUUAAAUGAGAAUUUACUGCACUUCACAUUUAUAUUGCUUUUCACUGUUCAUUUGUAAUUUACUUACACAUUGCAUCAGUGAAAUCUAUUUAGGCAGAUUAUAUGUGAGAAUCCAUGUCACUGGUCCUCAGGUUUGAGUUAGAUUGAAAUUGCCCAGGAAGUUUACAAGUGCUAAUGCCUGGGUCUCAUUACCAGAGAUUCUGAUUUACUUAGACCUGUGUGGUAUGAUAAUAUUGAAAAGCAUCAGAGAGAGUUCAGAUGGUGCAGUUCCCAAAGGGAUUAAGCUCAAAAAUGUAAGUUACAAAAGAGUUUAUUGUACCACCAGGCAAUGUGAUUUCUUCAAAUAUCUUCUUCAAAUGCAUUGCCUUCAACACUGUACUUACUGUCAUUAUGCUGGGUUAUUUUCACCACUUAGAAAUUUCAUUUUAUCUUACUGCAACUGUAGAUUUAUAUGCAUAUAGAUUGUUAUCAUAUUUCCUUCUUGUGCAUAC
ensembl:lncRNA